rnacentral:rRNA from 1 species
UUUAUGGAGAGUUUGAUCCUGGCUCAGGAUGAACGCUGGCGGCGUGCCUAAUACAUGCAAGUCGAGCGAACGGACGAGAAGCUUGCUUCUCUGAUGUUAGCGGCGGACGGGUGAGUAACACGUGGAUAACCUACCUAUAAGACUGGGAUAACUUCGGGAAACCGGAGCUAAUACCGGAUAAUAUUUUGAACCGCAUGGUUCAAAAGUGAAAGACGGUCUUGCUGUCACUUAUAGAUGGAUCCGCGCUGCAUUAGCUAGUUGGUAAGGUAACGGCUUACCAAGGCAACGAUGCAUAGCCGACCUGAGAGGGUGAUCGGCCACACUGGAACUGAGACACGGUCCAGACUCCUACGGGAGGCAGCAGUAGGGAAUCUUCCGCAAUGGGCGAAAGCCUGACGGAGCAACGCCGCGUGAGUGAUGAAGGUCUUCGGAUCGUAAAACUCUGUUAUUAGGGAAGAACAUAUGUGUAAGUAACUGUGCACAUCUUGACGGUACCUAAUCAGAAAGCCACGGCUAACUACGUGCCAGCAGCCGCGGUAAUACGUAGGUGGCAAGCGUUAUCCGGAAUUAUUGGGCGUAAAGCGCGCGUAGGCGGUUUUUUAAGUCUGAUGUGAAAGCCCACGGCUCAACCGUGGAGGGUCAUUGGAAACUGGAAAACUUGAGUGCAGAAGAGGAAAGUGGAAUUCCAUGUGUAGCGGUGAAAUGCGCAGAGAUAUGGAGGAACACCAGUGGCGAAGGCGACUUUCUGGUCUGUAACUGACGCUGAUGUGCGAAAGCGUGGGGAUCAAACAGGAUUAGAUACCCUGGUAGUCCACGCCGUAAACGAUGAGUGCUAAGUGUUAGGGGGUUUCCGCCCCUUAGUGCUGCAGCUAACGCAUUAAGCACUCCGCCUGGGGAGUACGACCGCAAGGUUGAAACUCAAAGGAAUUGACGGGGACCCGCACAAGCGGUGGAGCAUGUGGUUUAAUUCGAAGCAACGCGAAGAACCUUACCAAAUCUUGACAUCCUUUGACCUUCGGGGGACAAAGUGACAGGUGGUGCAUGGUUGUCGUCAGCUCGUGUCGUGAGAUGUUGGGUUAAGUCCCGCAACGAGCGCAACCCUUAAGCUUAGUUGCCAUCAUUAAGUUGGGCACUCUAAGUUGACUGCCGGUGACAAACCGGAGGAAGGUGGGGAUGACGUCAAAUCAUCAUGCCCCUUAUGAUUUGGGCUACACACGUGCUACAAUGGACAAUACAAAGGGCAGCGAAACCGCGAGGUCAAGCAAAUCCCAUAAAGUUGUUCUCAGUUCGGAUUGUAGUCUGCAACUCGACUACAUGAAGCUGGAAUCGCUAGUAAUCGUAGAUCAGCAUGCUACGGUGAAUACGUUCCCGGGUCUUGUACACACCGCCCGUCACACCACGAGAGUUUGUAACACCCGAAGCCGGUGGAGUAACCUUUUAGGAGCUAGCCGUCGAAGGUGGGACAAAUGAUUGGGGUGAAGUCGUAACAAGGUAGCCGUAUCGGAAGGUGCGGCUGGAUCACCUCCUUU